AACUCUUAGUGGUGGAUCACUCGGCUUGUGCGUUGAUGAAGAAUGCAGCUAGCUGCAAGAAUUAAUGUGAAUUGCAAGACCCGUUGAUCAUUGACACUUCGAACACACUUGCGGCCCUGGGUUCAUCCCGGGGCUACGCCUGUCUGAGCGUCG
rnacentral:rRNA from 1 species